rnacentral:rRNA from 1 species
CCUUUGUACACACCGCCCGUCGCUCCUACCGAUUGAAUGGUCCGGUGAGGCCUUGGGAUUGGCCAGGGGAGGUGGGCGACCACCACCCCAGGCCGAAAACUUGGUCAAACUUGGUCAUUUAGAGG